ACGCUCGACACCUACGGGAGGUGGCAGUGGGGAAUAUUGCACAAUGGGGGAAACCCGUGAUGCAGCGACGCCGCGUGAAGGAAGAAGUAUUUCGGUAUGUAAACUUCUAUCAGCAGGGAAGAAACUGACGGUACCUGACUAAGAAGCACCGACUAAAUACGUGUCAGCAGCCGCGGUAAUCUGAGCGGGCUGGCAAGGC
rnacentral:rRNA from 1 species